rnacentral:rRNA from 1 species
UACGAAGGGUGCAAGCGUUACUCGGAAUUACUGGGCGUAAAGCGUGCGUAGGUGGUUUGUUAAGUCUGAUGUGAAAGCCCUGGGCUCAACCUGGGAAUUGCAUUGGAUACUGGCAGGCUAGAGUGCGGUAGAGGGUAGUGGAAUUCCCGGUGUAGAGGUGAAAUUCGUAGAUAUCGGGAGGAACACCAGUGGCGAAGGCGGCGAUCUGGGAAGAUACUGACGCUGAGGUGCGAAAGCGUGGGGAGCAAACAGG